rnacentral:lncRNA from 1 species
AGCGAGGCGGGCGGCACCCCGGGAAACCGAGUCCCGACCGGGCCCCCACCGUGCGGCGCGGGCUGCCGAAAUCACUCAAGUCCAGCCGCAAAACCUUCCCGAAAACCCGAGCUUCUUCUGCACAACUUCGGUCUAACCAGCUCUUUCUCCGCAACACACUCCGCCCAACAGCACAGCCUCCCCAACGCGGCGGACCGAAGCGCUCCCCGCGGGCGGCUACCUGUCCGGGGGGCCAAGGACCCCAAGUCUCACCUCAUACAAAGGGCUGCGCGCGGGCGCCUGCAGAAGAACCCAGGGAGCAUGGCCCCAUCCAGUCCCUCCCGGAACUUUCCUGACAUAGCACUUCUCUCUGCUGCAGAAAAACGACGCUUCGAGGCUGAGGAGGAAGCGGAGGAGGCGGCGGCGGCGGCAGCGGCGGGAGCUGGAGCAGAAAGUGAGGAGCAUCGCGGGCGAGCGCCGCCGCCUCCCAAUCUGCCGAGGGGUUCCCGCCCCCAGGAGAUUGGCUGUAAAGAUCCCCAAAUGAACUCAGGAGGACCCUCCAGAAAAGUUACCAUCUUAAGAUCUAAAUGAUGCCGGGAAAUGCUGCUUUCAAGUAACAGUGAUACUGUUUUCCUAGCUAUCAUCAUUUGUGAUCUCUGCUGAGACCACACUGAGGUAUGCGCAGUGGGGAGAUGCCACAGAGACACACUGCAUCAGCAGCCAUCAACACGUUAGGAACGGACCACAGUCACAGUGGGUGUGGGCAGCAGAGGGCUUGUUUUUCUACCUCAUGGCUCCAAUUCUUACUUCUUGGUACUGUGGGGCUUCAAGAUAGGCUGUCAUUUGUACCCUGCACAGUGUCCUUUGGCUGAGGUGGAAACGGGUUAAGAUCCAGUGGGGGCUUACAAAGAACUGCCUCCCAGGGGGGGUGGGCUCAGAGGGAGUGGUAGAUUCUAAUUCACACAAAAGUACUGGCAUAGUUGCCUGAGAAUGGACCUCAGUCCUACCAUCUGCAGCUGUAUAGCAAGCACAUGCUGAUUUGUGGAGGGAGAGGGCAAGGAGACAAUGUGCAAAAGGUUGGAGCAAUUUCUCUUACAAUGUGGAGAAGAAAUAAGCCUUUGGCUCUAUAAAAGCAGAUGUGGUCCUUCCUGGAGCAAAUAGGAAGAUGAGAGAGGAGGAUGGCAGUGAACAAGAGGAAGGAUAUCUUUCUAUUAUGAUACAUUCCUAUAUAGUCAGAAAAAUGGAGGUAAUAGGUACCCAACUCAAAGUGACUCAAGAAAACCUACAGUGGAGGAGGUUGGAAUGUAUUGGUUCAUAUGCUUGAAAUCCCAAGAGUAGAUCUGGUAAAAAAAAAAAAAAAAAAAGGAAGAAGAAGAAGAAUUAUUAUUUUUUGAAUCUUUUUUUUUCCUCCAGAUGAUCAAAGAAUGUUAGGACUCCAUUUCUCUCCAUAUUGUGCUGUGCUUUCAUUGUACAGGUUUUAUUUUCUCUAAUCAGGGCCUAGAUUGAC